rnacentral:rRNA from 1 species
UACCAGCGCCCCGAGUGGUCGGGACGUUUAUUGGGCCUAAAGCAUCCGUAGCCGGUUCUACAAGUCUUCCGUUAAAUCCACCUGCUUAACAGAUGGGCUGCGGAAGAUACUAUGGAGCUAGGAGGCGGGAGAGGCAAGCGGUACUCGAUGGGUAGGGGUAAAAUCCGUUGAUCCAUUGAAGACCACCAGUGGCGAAGGCGGCUUGCCAGAACGCGCUCGACGGUGAGGGAUGAAAGCUGGGGGAGCAAACCGG